GCGGGGGCGGGCUUGGGGCCAUCCCUCUGCCACCUCCUUCCUCUCCAUUUCGCCGGCUUCACUUCUAACGCUUGCUGGUAAAUGAUCGCCAGCUCAAUCGUGAUGCUUCUCCCAGAGAGGUUUAUAAUGUAUUCAUUCCACUAAUGGCCCUGGGCUGGGGAAAAGAACUGGACCGGAGAAGUAAAGCUGCGUCUCCUUCCUUUUGAAGGCUCCUUCAGGGUGGUGUGGAAUGAAGUGGGACGGUCCCUUCCUGCUCUCUGAUUUUAAGCAAUUCGGACUGCACGCCUUCUGACCUCCCUCUCCACCUCCAUCCCCAUGCCUGCUAAUCCUGCAGCCCUGCCCCUUGAAAUGGAAAGCACACGCGUGGAUUUUGAUCCUUGGCUCUCUGAUUCACUUGCUUUUGUGACUUUAGGUGGGCACCUAAUAUCUCAGAACCUCAGUUUCCCCAUCUCUGAAAUGGAAAGCAUCACACCUCUCCCCAGAGUUUCUGUGACACGCAAAAGAUCUGUCCUGUCUAGCAUCCUUCACUUACUUCUGAAGAUCUAGGCUUCUAUCUGCCAUCAUCUCCCUUCACCUGGAGAAUUUCCUUUAAUGUUUUUUAUAGCAUUUCUGUUGGAGAUAACUUUGCUCAGCUUAUCAACAUCAGAGUCAAGGGGCCAGAGAAGGAGGAGAAGUUGAGGCGGACAGUCAAGCAGGUCCUGAAGUGUGACGUGACUCAGAGCUGGCCGCUGGGGACCAUCCCCUGCCCCCGGCCAACUGCCUGCUCAGCACGCUGAGACCUCCCUGCCUACCGCACGGCCCUUAAGAACCGCGGCAGCCUGCUAAAGCCGGGGGGCUUCCUGAUGCUUGUGGAUAUCCUGAGAAGCAGCUACUGUAUGAUCGGGGAGCAGGGGUUCUCCAGCCUCUGUCUGGGCCCGGAGGCAGUGGCGACUGCCGUCAGGGAGGCCGGCUACACCAUCCAACACUUUGAGGUGAUCUCCCAGAGUUACUCUUCUGCCAUGGCUGACAACGAAGGGCUUUUCUUCUUGGUGGGGCAGAAGCUGAGCACAUCGGUAUGAUACCUUGUGACCGCUGUUAAAGCAAUUCCUCUGAUGUGCCCAGUUGACUUCAGUCUUUGCCACAGUCAUUGUGCUGCAUAGAGGCUAAUGGCUUAGGCCCAAUGGUUCACCUCGGAUAGGACUGGAGAGGUCAGUCUCCCUGGCAACCGUUGGCUGACCACCUGCUCUGUGCUCCUCAUGUGUGUUGGUGUUAAGGGGACCCAGCCUGAUCAGUGGGCAUGCCCAGGCUUCAUCGCUGUGGUUACAAAAGAAGACCUCAUUUUCCUUGAUCUUCCCAGUUAUCAUGACUUAAGUCCACACCUGCUUACAGAGAAAUGUCUGCGGUUACUCACUCUUCAUUCCCUGAUGCCUUCUUCUUUCCUGGGAAUAGACUUCUGUUCUUCAA